rnacentral:rRNA from 1 species
UACGGAGGGAGCGAACGUUGUUCGGAUUCACUGGGCGUAAAGGGUGUGUAGGCGGUCUUGCAAGUUUGAGGUGAAAUCUUCCGGCUCAACCGGGAAACUGCCUUGAAGACUGCAGGACUUGAGGGCGUGAGAGGAGACUGGAAUUCCUAGUGUAGCGGUGAAAUGCAUAGAUAUUAGGAGGAACACCAGUGGCGAAGGCGAGUCUCUGGCACGCAUCUGACGCUGAGACACGAAAGCCAGGGGAGCGAACGGG